UACAGAGGGUGCAAGCGUUAAUCGGAAUCACUGGGCGUAAAGGGCACGUAGGUUGUUGAUUAAGUGUAAUGUGAAAGCCCCGGGCUCAACCUGGGAACUGCAUUCCAAACUGAUCGGCUAGAGUAUAGUAGAGGGGAGUGGAAUUCCACGUGUAGCGGUGAAAUGCGUAGAUAUGUGGAGGAACAUCAGUGGCGAAGGCGACUCUCUGGACUAAUACUGACACUGAGGUGCGAAAGCGUGGGUAGCGAAC
rnacentral:rRNA from 1 species